GCGUGAGUGAUGAAGGCCCUCGGGUUGUAAAGCUCUGUGGGGAGGGAAGAAUAAGGCAUGGUCAAUACCCAUGCUGAUGACGGUACCUCUUUAGCAAGCACCGGCUAACUCUGUGCCAGCAGCCGCGGUAAGACAGAGGGUGCGAACGUUGUUCGGAAUUACUGGGCGUAAAGCGCGUGUAGGCGGCUAUGCAAGUCGGAUGUGAAAGCCCUGGGCUUAACCUAGGAAGUGCACUCGAAACUGCAUAGCUCGAGUCCCGGAGAGGAUGGUGGAAUUCUGAGUGUAGAGGUGAAAUUCGUAGAUAUUCAGAGGAACACCGGUGGCGAAGGCGGCCAUCUGGACGGGUACUGACGCUGAGACGCGAAAGCGUGGGUAGCAAACAGGAUUAGAUACCCUGGUAGUCCACGCCGUAAACGAUGGGUGCUAGGUGUCGCGGGCUUUGACUCCUGCGGUGCCGUAGCUAACGCAUUAAGCACCCCGCCUGGGGAGUACGGCCGCAAGGCU
rnacentral:rRNA from 1 species